rnacentral:sRNA from 1 species
UAACGUAUCCCAAUACUCUGUAGGUUC